AUCCCACGGUGUCAACAUUGCCUCAACUAUUCCUUGAAUAUUUCCCCAACAUUAAACAAAGACUCAUCCUUUCAUUGUCUAAAUUAAGUGAUUUCAUUUCUGAUUCU